AAGGCAUCCACCAGGCGGCGCGCAAGAAUAGCAGAGAGAAGGCAAGUCUACGGGAUCAUCCAGAACUGCGGUGGGAGGAGGCUGCCAGGGGAGCCUUGAACACAGGGUGGCGCUCUAGAAGACGUCUCUGUUGUGGGUCAGAGGGCAAGUGAUGAGAGUUUGAAGCCACGUACAUCUCGCCACUCAUUCUUCCACAGCUGCUCUCAGCAUCCCUUUGAAACUGUUUUAGCUGUGGACCAUGUAAACGCAAGACCCUGGAAGCUAGAACCUCUGACCUUUGUUGGCUGACCUCUGGCUUAGCACCCAAGGAAUACACAUGCCACAGCACUGGUUGAGAAGGUUUUGAUCUGGACCUGUCCCCUGAGUCAAGCCUUCACCUCUGUAGACCAAAUUAUUUCUAAGGUUCAUUCAAAGAUUCUGCAACUAUCACCAGGUCACCGAACCAAUCAUACUUUCUCCUGAUGCCAAGCAAAGAACUCUAUUUAUCCAGCUUCAAGGACACACAGCUCCUUACUCUGAGCCUGGCAUCCUCUUGCCUACCGAUAGGUCAUGUGACCAUCUUCCCAAUGAGAGGCGGCUGAUGCCAAAUACAGGACGGAGUGCAGCCCACAAGAACCACAGCUGCCAGUGAAGAGAGAAUGCAGCCAGAAGCCAUGAGUCACCCACCUGAGACAGGUUCCCCUUCUUCUUGCAGUUGGUCCCUCCAAUGAAGAUCAUGUUGGGCAUGACUGGCCGGGGGUAUUCGAACACAAAAUCAUACCGUAACAGCCACAGAGAGUUCUGGUGUAAGGCAGGUAGGGACACAUCUCUCUUGAGGAGGUCUGAGGCAAGGAUCUCAUACUUUGAGUACAGACAAUGAUAAAGGUAGUUCUCCAAGAUGUUAGCAAUGAAGUUGGCCAGCCGUUGGGGAAAUGUCAUGUGGUCUGAGAAUUUGGUGUAGAAUCUGGGAACAUAGGAUACGGGGCUUGGGCUUUGACCAAGCAUGUGCUCCAGAGAGCAUGGGAAACCUCUGAAGAGGUAGACGGAAGGCAGCUUGAGAUACUCAGCCAGGAUCACACCACAGGGCAUGGCCGGGUCUGUGAACAGAGCAUCAAACUGGUUCUCCCUGAGGAAGCUGAGGGUGGCCGAGUCCUUCAGGAGGCUCUGGCAGCUGAAAAAGCACAUGUCAAUGACAAUCAUGUUGUUCCUGUACUCUCUUAGAGGAGCCAUCAGGGGGGAACUGGCAGCAAAGUGGUUGUUCCCAAAGGAGCGAUAGCGGGUCCGCAACUCUUCUAGGUUGUAGGGGACCGGGAAGCUUUUCCUCCUGUAGUAUUUGGAUUCUCCCAAAAGCAAAUUGACUUCUGGCACUAGCACCACAAUGUCGUGUCCGCGUUCACUGAGGUGCUCCACUAUCUCCUUCAUGCUAAGCCAGUGGCUGCCAUCCUGGGGGACCACCAGCAGCUUGUCACCUAGAACUGAGCCCCAGAGCACUAAGAAGAGAAAGCCUGCAGGAAGUCGAGCAGCAGGAAGAAGGCAAGCCAUCCUAGUGGGGAGGGAAGGCAACAGUGAGCACUCCUGAAGCUGCAGGGCUCUGAGCUACUCCCUCUCACACACCCAGUGACUUCAGUGCUCCCCAGCUCUCUCUCCCUGACUCUAAAUCAUGCCCUGUAAUAUGAAGGAAGCUAAAUUAAUAUUUAACCACAUUAAGCACGAAGCUGACCUUAUGCAGCCUAUUAAUCUUCCUUGGAGACUCUAGGUUCUUUUUCUCCACUAAUGGGCCAAUUCCUCCAGUGGGUCUUUGCUACUGUUUAAGGGCAAUCUGGAGGGAGCUCCGGGGUCCCAGCAGAUCUGGGCCUUGAGAGGUUAGUGGAGAAAUGACCCUCAGUCAGUGCUCUGACACUUUCCUGCCAACUUUGUUCACUGCAAGGGGGGAAAGCACUAAUUUAACAGAGGACAUAUUUGAUGUUCAAAGCAACACAGAGCCGUCUCCUCCUCAGAGUCACCUUCUGCUAUGUGUCUUUGGGCCUAUGUGGCUCUGUCUUUAAAAGGAUACCAAUCUUAUAGGGCGGGACUCAUCCUAAAGAUCUUAUCUUCUAGGUCCAUCUGCAAUGACUGUGUGAUCGAGGUCACUUUCAAAGGUGCGAGGCAUUGACUUCAGUGUACUUUCUUAGGACACACAAGUUAGGCCUUAAACCCCACCCAUAUCCACACAUGGUACAAGUCUCAGAAUACAGUUAUGGCCAGCCAUCUAUGUGCGAGAAACUGAGGUUACUGUCUAAGCAAAGGACAUUAGUUGUAACCCUUGUAGCUUUGGAAGAAACUAAUAUUAGCUACCUCUGCUUAACUGUUCACAAACUCUUGGUCUUAGAAUUUCUUCACAGUCAUCAAAUGGUUAAAAACGAUGACGAGUUUAGUUUUAAAAACUUAAUGGGGGGCCAGGGAUGAAGUUUGGCUGGUAGAACACUUGCUUAGUCAGUAAUCUUUGCACUCCGGGAUGUAGAGCCAGAAUUAUCAGAAGCUGAAGGUCAUCCUAGCUACAGAGUGAAUUUGAGGACAGUCUCAAACUGAGUACAUGAGUGUUUGCCUCAACAAAACCAGACGAGGAAAGGGUUGGGAAUUUAGCUCAGUGGUAGAGCGCUUGCCUAGCAAGCACAAGGCCCUGGGUUUGGUCCCCAGCUCCGAAAAAAAGAAAAAAAAAAAAAAAAAAAAAAAAAAAAAAAAAAAAAAAAAAAACCCAGACGAGGGCCUGAAGGUAUGGCUUGGCAGUUAAGAACACUGGCUACUUCUCCAGAGGACCAAAGUUCAAUUCCCAGCACCCACACAGCAGCUAACAAGUAACAGUAAGCCACGCUCCAGGGGUUCUGCCGCCAUCUUCUGACCUCUGUGGACGUGUUCAGGAUGCACAUAUUUAAACCAUACACACACACAUAAGAUUCAAAUCAAUCAAAUCCCAAAACAAAGUCUUAAAAGAUAACUUAAGUGGAUUUUAUUUGCAGUUCUAGAAUCUGGCAGCGCCUCACGUGGAGUGAGUGUGUAGUGAGCUAACUAGGAGACAGCCUAGGUCUGACACAGAAGGCCUUCAGAGACCUUCACAGUGUUCCUGUGGACUACAGAAGUCAAGGGGCUAUUUUGAAAAUCAAAGUUGACAUACCCAAACACACGCAAACACUUCCUGUUUAACUUUCACAAAGAAGAAUAAACCCAUUUUUUUUUUUUUUUUUUUGGUUCUUUUUUUCGGAGCUGGGGACCGAACCCAGGGCCUUGCGCUUCCUAGGUAAGUGCUCUACCACUGAGCUAAAUCCCCAGCCCCAAACCCAUUUUUUUUUUAACAUCUGUCAGGUCGGGAGGAUAGAAAACUGUCUAAGAGUUGCUUUGUUUGGUGUUUUCUCAAGCCCAUUAACUGUCUGGCCUCCUAGGCAACAGCUGGAAAUCCCUAAUUUGUUUUAUUGUUUGUUCUGUUGCAAAGCCACAUUCCCUGAAGCUACCAGAAAAUUCCACAGCACCCUUGGAAGAAGAUGCGCUUGGGAAAAGCAAACGACCAUUUUGGUACUGCUAUGAGAAAAGUGCAGUCGACUCCUAAGAUGGGCUCAAAAAAGCCACAGGGCUCCUAGAAUGUAUUUUGAAACCUCUGGUUUGAUACUGGGGGAGAAUAAACCUUCCCACCUGUG